AUAGUACAGGGGGUUUGCAGAGGGGAAACGAGGAAAGGGGAUAACAUUAGAAAUAAAAUAAAUAAAAUAGCCAAUAAAAAAAAGAGAAAAGAAAGCAAGUGAUAUGCAAUAGAUUUUUUUUCUAAGUCCAAGAGUAGAUCUCACAUAGAAAGGGUAGACAAAUAAAUACUCUGUGUUUAUUUGUUGGCUUCUUGUAAGUGAGAAUUGCUGAGGACUAUGUUCUGGAGAGAUGACAUAUUUCUGCAUCUUGGACACAUGUAGCAGGGCUAUGUUUCAUGCUGAUAUCACUUAAGUGCAUGUCAUUUGGAAAGUAAUAUCUUUGCAGGAAAAUAAAAUUAAUUAUACCUUCUCUUUGCAAGGUUCAUCUUCAUCCCAGUUUGUUGUUCUUGGACUAGAAGAAUGGGUUGCACAAAGUGACUCCUAUCUAUUUUAGCAAAUUAACCUCUCAGCUCACAUCAGCUGACUUGAGGGAAACUGAACUGUUUAAUUUUUUUUUUUCAGAUAGACUCUAGCUCUCUUUUUAUCAAAGCAGAUGGCCAGGAUGAGUUGAUGGAUGUGGUGGCCCAAGUUCAGUUUGAUAGUGAGAUGAGCAUUUAUAGAUUCUAUGAUUGUGUGUGAGAAAAGGAAGUAUUAUAAUCUUUUAAAAAAUAUUUUCCAUUAUAGGAAGGCACAUUAAGGGCAGUGCUUUGUCCAGGUUCUAAUAACAAAAUAAACCUUACAUCCAUUGACAAGAUAACAGCAUAGAAUUGAAUGUUAAAACCGAGAUUCAGAGGUCAUUGUUGAUUGAAAUGGGAUGCAGGAACAAUGUUUCCUAAGACACUAGCUCCCAGCCUUGUCCAAGGGACACCAAACUCCUGACCACACAAACACUGAAGAGUCUUUAAAAACUCUUCUGUUAAAGUUGGUAAUUUAUCUCCACUAAUACUUUGUUAAAAGAAACGGUGUAGAGAUUAACAGAAUAAUUUUAUUUCAGAUUUUACUAAUGUAGUGUGUAGCUACAACUUGACAUUCAAGGGAAGAUUAGACUUCUGUUUUGAAAGUUUUCCAUCAGGUAAUUUCAGUGGUUUCAUUUUAGAAAUGUGUUUACUGUUUAUUUGCAGAUGUUUGACAAAGGGAAUAUUACUAAAAAAGAAAACAAAAAAAAUACUUAUCAAAUGAAGAAUUGUUAGAAAAAAUUACAUUCUUUGCUAAAGAAAGUUUGGUUAGUCUUAGAGGUAGGUAUUUGCUUUCUAGAACUUGUUUUUGUUGAUAGCUGUAUGCAUGGAACAUGUUUGUUAUGCAAGGUGUAAGUCUUUCAUUACACUUGUAAGAUACAUUAUAUUGUUUAGGGAUCAAGAAAGUAACAUAAUGCUGAAGUAAAUAUAGUAUGUAGUUCCUAUUGU
rnacentral:lncRNA from 1 species